rnacentral:rRNA from 1 species
UUUUGCCUACGGGGGGCAGCAGUGGGGGAUAUUGCACAAUGGGGGGAACCCUGAUGCAGCGACGCCGCGUGGGCGAUGGAGCGCCUCGGCGCGUAAAGCCCUAUCAGCAGGGAAGAAGAUGACGGUACCUGACUAAGAAGCCCCAGCUAAAUACGUGCCAGCAGCCGCGGUAAUACGUAUGGGGCAAGCGUUAUCCGGAUUUACUGGGUGUAAAGCGAGUGCAGGCGGUGCAAUAAGUCUGAUGUGAAA